rnacentral:rRNA from 1 species
CAGUCGCCGCGGUAAUACGUAGGUGGCAAGCGUUGUCCGGAAUUAUUGGGCGUAAAGGGCUCGCAGGCGGUUUCUUAAGUCUGAUGUGAAAGCCCCCGGCUCAACCGGGGAGGGUCAUUGGAAACUGGGAAACUUGAGUGCAGAAGAGGAGAGUGGAAUUCCACGUGUAGCGGUGAAAUGCGUAGAGAUGUGGAGGAACACCAGUGGCGAAGGCGACUCUCUGGUCUGUAACUGACGCUGAGGAGCGAAAGCGUGGGGAGCGAACAGGAUUAGAGACCCCUGUAGUCCCUGUCUCUGAUAC